rnacentral:lncRNA from 1 species
GAUCCCCCAGUCGUGCGGCCCCUCCCCUGCUCCUUCCCACACCCACAGUAGUGAUCCCAGACUCUAGGGGAGGGAGUGAAAUUCUCUCCUACCCCAUUCCAGCUCCUCCGAGGCUGGCAGCAGGGUCUCUGUCCUCCAUCUUUUGAUACUGUAGGUCUCUGAGUCCUGGAACUAGAUUUAUUAGCUGAAAUUCAGUUUUUUUUUCCAGUCCUUUGUUGUAGUUUGGAGAGGAGAGAGUCCCGGGUCAGCUCACCCUGCCAUUUUGCUCCACCCACCUCCUAUGAGAGGAAAAUUUUAUUCUAACUCAUUCUUAGAACUGCACGUUAAUAUUUUUUCAUUCUUAUUCCUUUAAUUACUUUAAUCCAAUCUAUGAAAUGCUGGAAGUUUUCUUCAUCAGUCAAAACAAGAGUUGAGCUUUUCUCUGAUGCUAUCCUAUGUGAAUCACUAAUUAAAUUUUAUCUAGAACUUACAAUGCACUCUUAUAGGAGAUAUAUAUAUGAGUUCAAUUAUGGUCUCCACUGUAUGUAACUGUAACCUCAGUUAUCAUCAGUAUGUUAAGCAAUAUAAGAUGCAGUCCUCAUUUCCACACACCCUCAAUCUAACAAAAAAGUGGACUAGUGUUUGCAAACUUCAUUCAUUCAACAAGUAUUUAUUUAGCACUUACUAUAUGCAGGAAGAAAUUUAAAACUAUAAGACAAUACAUAGUAUGGGACAAAAAUCACUAUGUAGUUUCACUCUUAUUAAUUAAAAGAUGGUUGAGUUAGAAAAUAAUGUAUUAUAACUACCGAAGCACCAGACUCACUGAUAUGCUCAUCUCAAAAUAUACAAUGAAAAACCAUCUCCUCAUUCUGUAUGAACCAGUCAGUCAUUCAGUUAUUUCCAUAUUUUCUUGAUUCAAUUAAAUUUUUUUGAAUACAGGGCUCUGUGUUAAAUUCUGUGGAUACAGCCAAGAACAAGACAGUCACGGUUCCCACCUUCACGAUGCUUACAGUCUUCAAAUGAUAUGUGAAUAUAAACCAUUAAAAUACAAAUACCAGAAUGUGCCCAUACAAAUAAUGCAUCUCUUCAAAAUAUCCACCAUGAAAUUUCAUAUUGGGAAAACUUACCUCUUUUGAGAUUUUUUUCAGAGCAAAUUAUGCUUAGCCAAAAACAACACCGUCCAAUUAAAUUCCACAGCAUGGCAUCCAGACUUGCACAUUAAUUAGGCAAGUAACGAAUUUCAGUAACUCAACUCCCCUAAAAAGUAGCUCAUUCCCUCAAAGCUGAAACUGAACAUCUGAUUUGAUGGUAGGCCUGAAUGCUCAUUCAGGGCCUAGUUUCCUUCUGUCUUGUCCACUCUUCAACCUCUAGGCUGUUAGAUGGGGAAGAAAGAACACAGAAGAUUGUGGGAAGUUUUCAUGGUUCAUGCCUGGAAGAUUGUAUGCUACUGCUGAUUGCAUUCUUCUCAACAGAUGAGGUCAGGUGACCACAACUCGCUGCAAGGGAGGCUGGUAAAUGUAGUCUAAGGUUGAGCCU